AGCGAACGCUGGCGGCAGGCUUAACACAUGCAAGUCGAACGGGCGUAGCAAUACGUCAGUGGCAGACGGGUGAGUAACGCGUGGGAACGUACCUUUUGGUUCGGAACAACCCAGGGAAACUUGGGCUAAUACCGGAUAAGCCCUUACGGGGAAAGAUUUAUCGCCGAAAGAUCGGCCCGCGUCUGAUUAGCUAGUUGGUGAGGUAACGGCUCACCAAGGCGACGAUCAGUAGCUGGUCUGAGAGGAUGAUCAGCCACAUUGGGACUGAGACACGGCCCAAACUCCUACGGGAGGCAGCAGUGGGGAAUAUUGGACAAUGGGCGGCAAGCCUGAUCCAGCCAUGCCGCGUGAGUGAUGAAGGCCCUAGGGUUGUAAAGCUCUUUUGUGCGGGAAGAUAAUGACGGUACCGCAAGAAUAAGCCCCCGGCUAACUUCGUGCCAGCAGCCGCUGUAAC
rnacentral:rRNA from 1 species